rnacentral:rRNA from 1 species
GACGAACGCUGGCGGCGUGCUUAACACAUGCAAGUCGAACGGAAAGGCCCUGCUUUUGUGGGGUGCUCGAGUGGCGAACGGGUGAGUAACACGUGAGUAACCUGCCCUUGACUUUGGGAUAACUUCAGGAAACUGGGGCUAAUACCGGAUAGGAGCUCCUGCUGCAUGGUGGGGGUUGGAAAGUUUCGGCGGUUGGGGAUGGACUCGCGGCUUAUCAGCUUGUUGGUGGGGUAGUGGCUUACCAAGGCUUUGACGGGUAGCCGGCCUGAGAGGGUGACCGGCCACAUUGGGACUGAGAUACGACCCAGACUCCUACAGGAGGCAGCAGUGAUGAAUAUUCCACAAUGGGCGGAAGCCUGAUGCAGCAACGCCGCGUGCGGGAUGACGGCCUUCGGGUUGUAAACCGCUUUCGCCUGUGACGAAGCGUGAGUGACGGUAAUGGGUAAAGAAGCACCGGCUAACUACGUG